UUAGGGUGCGCCGACAAUGAAUGACUACAAACCCCGCCAGGCCCGGAAGGGAGCAACGGUAGUAGUUUUUUCAGGUGUUGGAUGUUAUUCUGAGUG
rfam:Candidatus Thioglobus autotrophicus strain EF1, complete genome.